rnacentral:tRNA from 1 species
AUCUGUGCCUGAAAGUUAAGGUGCACUU